rnacentral:rRNA from 2 species
CGCGGCCUAUCAGCUUGUUGGUGGGGUAAUGGCCUACCAAGGCGACGACGGGUAGCCGACCUGAGAGGGUGACCGGCCACACUGGGACUGAGACACGGCCCAGACUCCUACGGGAGGCAGCAGUGGGGAAUAUUGCACAAUGGGCGAAAGCCUGAUGCAGCGACGCCGCGUGAGGGAUGACGGCCUUCGGGUUGUAAACCUCUUUCAGCAGGGACGAAGCGCAAGUGACGGUACCUGCAGAAGAAGCACCGGCUAACUACGUGCCAGCAGCCGCGGUAAUACGUAGGGUGCAAGCGUUGUCCGGAAUUACUGGGCGUAAAGAGUUCGUAGGCGGUUUGUCGCGUCGUUUGUGAAAACCAGCAGCUCAACUGCUGGCUUGCAGGCGAUACGGGCAGACUUGAGUACUGCAGGGGAGACUGGAAUUCCUGGUGUAGCGGUGAAAUGCGCAGAUAUCAGGAGGAACACCGGUGGCGAAGGCGGGUCUCUGGGCAGUAACUGACGCUGAGGAACGAAAGCGUGGGUAGCGAACAGGAUUAGAUACCCUGGUAGUCCACGCCGUAAACGGUGGGCGCUAGGUGUGGGUUCCUUCCACGGAAUCCGUGCCGUAGCUAACGCAUUAAGCGCCCCGCCUGGGGAGUACGG